UACAGGGGGUGCAAACGUUGCUCGGAAUCAUUGGGCGUAAAGCGCACGUAGGCGGUUCGUUAUGUCGGAUGUGAAAGCCCUUGGCUUAACCGAGGAAGUGCAUCCGAAACUGGCGAGCUAGAGUACGAAAGAGGAUCGCGGAAUUCCCGGUGUAGAGGUGAAAUUCGUAGAUAUCGGGAGGAACACCGGUGGCGAAGGCGGCUCACUGGCCCGGUACUGACGCUGAGGUGCGAAAGCGUGGGGAGCAAACAGG
rnacentral:rRNA from 1 species